rnacentral:rRNA from 1 species
GUCCACGCCGUAAACGAUGGAUACUAGCUGUUGGGCGCAAGUUCAGUGGCUAAGCGAAAGUGAUAAGUAUCCCACCUGGGGAGUACGUUCGCAAGAAUGAAACUCAAAGGAAUUGACGGGGCCCGCACAAGCGGUGGAGCAUGUGGUUUAAUUCGAUGAUACGCGAGGAACCUUACCAAGGCUUAAAUGUAGAUUGACAGGUUUGGAAACAGACUUUUCUUCGGACAAUUUACAAGGUGCUGCAUGGUUGUCGU